rnacentral:lncRNA from 1 species
GAGUGGAGUCGCCCGCGGGAACCGGGCGGCGGCCAGAAAAGCCGCGCCUGUAGUCCUCUGGGGGUCGCGCCUGGUCGUUUCCAGGUUCCGAGUCCCUCCGGCCCGGCCCCGGGCCUCCCAGUCGGCGGAAGCCCCUGGCCGCGACCGCUCCUCGCCGGCGGGCGGGUUCCCCACCCGGCAGAGGCGUCGGCCUCGCACUCAACCCAGCACCCGACUCCCGGGUCAGAAGCCCCAAGCCCCAAGUGGUUACGCUUACAGCGCUGCCCGCCCUGCUCAGUGAGGGCGGCGCGGGGGCCGUGAGGGGCAGUGGCUGGGCUAGGUGCGCACCGGCCUCGGCAGGGCUGUGGAGCAGGGUCUUUGGAAGGAUGACUAGGAGUUUGCCUGUCGUUUGCAUGUUAAUGCGGGUGAAACUCCCAGUAGGCGCUGCUGUCCAGGGAAAAUGAUGGGCUUUUUCCUCUCUCCAGUUUUGGUUAAUGAGAAAAGAAAGAUUAGAAACUUCAAGUAGGACUGUGAACAGGCUUAGGGAUCCUGGACAGAGCCUAGAAAUCUCAGGAGAACUGAGAGCUCUUGAAAUAUGAAGUGAUGCUUAAAAAAAAAAAGAAAACUCCAGGCC